CGUUAGGAGAAGCGUUUGAAUGGCGCGCCAUAGAGGGUGAAAGCCCCGUAACCGAAAACGAAACUGGCCUAGCUGAAUCCCGAGUAGCACGGAGCACGUGAAAUUCCGUGUGAAUCCGCGAGGACCACCUCGUAAGGCUAAGUACUCCUGUGUGACCGAUAGCGCAACAGUACCGCGAGGGAAAGGUGAAAAGAACCCCG
rnacentral:rRNA from 1 species